GAGAGAGAGAGAGAGAGAGAGAGAGAGAGAGAGAGAGAGAGAGAGAGAGAGAGAGAGAGAGAGAGAGAGAGAGAGAGAGAGAGAGAGAGAGAGAGAGAGAGAGAGAGAGAGAGAGAGAGAGAGAACGAGUGUGUAUGAGGAGAAAGGGGCAGAGAGAAAGGAGCAAGAGGACCCAAAGCAGGCUCCACGCAGAAAGCAGCCAACCCACACUUUUUGUUACCUCUCAACUUGCAAAAAUACCCAUUUCGGGGAGCAGUGGGGUGGGAGAACCAGAAGGCAUUACCACGAAUCUUAGUGUUUUCAUUACACAAAGUAUAAGGAUGUGAAAGAAAACACAUCAGCAACAUCUAAGGGACAGAAUUUUCCCAGCAUGGUUCCAGGGGCAAAAGGUCUACUUUCAGUAUCAAAUUGCAUACAGCAUACAGCAAGGUGGCAACUAUCCAAGUUAGGUGCACUGCCAGUGUCUUUAAACACAGGACACCAUUCACUCCGUGUCCCCAUGGAUUUGGCUGGGACCUAUUGCUCUCAAACCUUGUUUGAUCCGUGAGGAGGAGUAAGGCCAUUUUAACACAUUCGAGGGGGUGGCUCCCUACCUGGGAACUGAAUUGAAGGGAUUCAGACUUGGUUUUGCAUUUGGUGAACUUGAGGCCCGGAAUUGAAGGUGUUCUUGAAACACGGUGUUCCUUUUGCCUCUCCCGCCAGCUGCUGCUGGAACAUUUGGAGUUCCUCGUCUCCAGGCACGAGAGAGCUCUUCAAAAAACCAUCAUCGGGCGACAGGCGAAGACUCCGGCCGGCGUGUCCAGUGAGGCAGAGGUGCUCAAGGUCCUCAACUCCAUAUUGGAGAAGGACAAAACGGAGGAUGAAACGAUGUGCCUAACCACGGCGGUUCUCGACUUGUGCACAUGCUACUGCCUCAACAUCCUGCUCUUGGAGACUUUCAGGGAUCCUGCAUGCCCAGUCGUUGCGCCAGCAGGUGAUCGUCAAAGAAACGACUCAAAAAGAACUAAACAGAAUCAGAACCCAGUCCUACACACUUGGGCAGCAGCUCGUGUGGAGACUCUGCCCUCCAGAUCACCACUGCUUUUACCCACGGACAGGAAAAGCUGCAAAGCUGGUGGUCAGGGCAGACAGUCCAUUCAAAGACUCGGGGACCAGAGCCCAAUUCCACAGACAUGGCUGCCAGCCAGCACAGAGAAGCCAACACUGAGAUAG
rnacentral:lncRNA from 1 species